AGAAAUGAUCUUGUAUCAUGUGGAAGGUUCUUGUGUCCACUGAAUGAAGACGACAAUAUGUUAGCUGACAAGUGAGAACUGGAGACACAAUGAGGACCAUUGCUGGCCACUGCAGAGGGGCUGAUGUUUUGGCGCUUGCUUCCGGAAGUGUGUUUGGAGUAAGGCUCCUGCGUGGCAGUGCCGCUCGGCAAAGGCUCGUGUGCUGUGCUGAAGAUGUUUCUGGCCUUGGUAGCUAAUCUCUUCUCACAGAUUAAGGCCUGCGGGACGACUGGGGUGCAGUGGCCCUACUUUUCCUUU